rnacentral:lncRNA from 1 species
UUCGUUACUUAUUACUUAUUCCUAUUCGUUACUUAUUCGAUUUUUGAUAUCCUUCCCCCUUUUUAAUUGUUUAUAUUCUUAUCUCUGGUUAUAGUUCUAAAUUUGUUGAGGUAAAAUGACCUUUUUAUGACCUAUUUAUAUGUGUUUGUGCUCAACCGAUCCUGUUGCUUUAUGUUCGAUACUUAUUUGUUUCUUAUUUGAUUUUUAUACGUUCUACCUUUUAAAUGUUUUAUAUUCGUAUGUUUGAAGAUCUGGUUCUUGGUUUCGGAAGAGGUGAAAUCACCUUUUAGCGCUUGUAUAAAAAUGAAGAUGUGGUAUGAUCGCCAAUGAGACAACUCCCCACAAUAGACCAAAAUGACACAGAAAUUAACAACUACAGGUCACGAUACGGCCUUCAACAAUAAGCAAAGCCCAUACCGCAUGGUCAGCUAUAAAACAUGUUAGCGGGGUGUACAUCGUUUCGGAGCUUGACUAAUACCUUGUUUAUAACACGCGUAUUAUACGUUGCACCUUUUAGAAAAUGAUUUUCAAUUGUGUUCUUGUCUCUGGCGGUAACUAUGUGUUCUUAGAGAUGAAAUCACCCUAUUAGCACGUAUGUACCCGUUCCAGCGCUCGGUUUAUACCCUGUUACUUAUUCGUUCCUUAAUCGCUUUUAAUACGCGUGGUAUACGUUGCACCUUUUAAAAAAAGGAUUUUAAAUUGUUUUCUUGUUUCUAGUGGUAGAUUGCGUUUCUAAGAGGUGAUAUAACCCUAUCAGCGCGUAUGUAGCAGUUUCAGCGCUCGACUGAUACCC